rnacentral:rRNA from 1 species
CCUACGGGAGUCUGCAGUGAGGAAUAUUGGUCAAUGGACGAGACUCUGAACCAGCAACGCAGCGUGAAGGAUGACUGUCUUAUGGGUUUUAAACUCUUUUCACAUGGGAGUAAAAUGUUACACGUCCGUGCUCUUGUACCUCCCAUACCAACAAGCACUCACCAACUCCGUGACAGCAGCCGCGGUAAUACGGAGGAUCCGAGCGUUAUCCGGUUUUAUUGGGUUGAAAGGGAGCGUAGGUGGAUUGGUAAGUUAGUAGUGAAAGUCUGCGGCUCAACCGUGAAAUUGCUGUUGAAACUGUCAGUCUUGAGUGCAGUAGAGGUAAGCGGAAUUCCUAGUGUAUCGGUGGAAUGCUUAGAUAUCACGAGGAACUCCAGUUGCGAAGGCGGGUCACUGGACUGCAACUGACACUGAGGCUCGAAAGCGUGGGUAGCAAACAGGAUUAGAUACCCCGGUAGUC